CUUUAGCUUUAAAUGUAUUCAGGUGAGUCUCAUCAGUGAUCACCAUUGUACUGAUCAACAAUAUUAGCAUUUCAGUGAGCCCACAUUAGUAGGCUAACUUUGAGCAGGUGUGGCACGAAAGCACAAGUGCGUUAGUCCUUAAAACAUGUCUCCUCAAUACUAUCUGAGACUGGCUUUGGUUGGUUUGACUCUUUCUGUUGUGGGAUGUUUGCCUGAUGCGUCAAUCGUGCCUUUAGGAAACAUCUCAGAUGAUUCAAAGAUCAAAAUGUUGGAAAAUUUCAGAAGUGUUAGUCCACCCAUUCAAAGUCCAGUAAGACUUCAAGGGAACGUAGAACAAUUUAACAGCAAAUAUCAGCUACCCAGGAUCAACUCAGCCUCAUACAGCCAGAGAAAUGAUGGCAAUGCAAAAAAUCCAAGCUUCAGCUCCACUGACAUAAGAGCUUCUGCAGAUGUUAUCUAUUACCAUUCAGUCCCAAAUAAAGUCCAGUCCAAUACAAAUCGCAGAAAUAAUCCUGUUGAAUUUUCAAGUGUCAAAUUUAAUGAUGGCAUUGAUGCCAAAAGAAGCUAUACUUUGCAAACAGUCCGACAGGAACAAAAUCCUUUAGACUUUAAAGGGAGCCAAAUGAGCUCUAGUGAUCCUAAUAUGGCCCCAAGGCUAGUGAGGAAAAAUGGUGGAAUGCAUGCAGCAAAUGUGUAUAGAUCUGGCUCAUUUGGAUAUCAACAUAUUUUGAAAUCAGAAAUGCCCUCAGAAAGUUCACGACCAUUACGACUCAAUGAACCCUAUUUGAGGGAAAAUAUUCCAACUAAUUAUAUGUCUAGAAGCUCAACUGUGAACCAAAUGAGGCACAAAAGUGAUGGAAACAUGCUGUUUGGUCAUUUACUUCAAAACCGCGGCCAGAAUCAAAAAGUGCUGAGGAAUACAUCUCCCUCAAUUGUAAGAGCAAAUCAAUUACCACAUGCUUUUUCUGCUGGGACUGGAGUAAUUUCUCAAAUUUCCUACGAGAAUACGAGGGAUGUAGCUCUUUCCAAGGUGUACAAACCUCCAACAAUCCCAACACCAGUAUCUCCUGGCUUUACGAGAUCAAAUUCAAAUAGAGGUCAUGGCAUCCUUCCGUUUAAAAAAUCUCUCAUGUUUUCUUUUCAACAUGAUCACGUCAAGCUGCCUAGUUCUGAAAGGGUUGCCAGUCCCAGUACAAAAUCAGCCACGAGCAGCUACACUUUCAAGGACAUUCACUUGACAUCUACACAAAAUGAUUACCAAAAUAGGGGACAAAGUAGUCAGAAUCUUGCGCCCAUUCAAACAUUUCCCAGUCAAAAGGAGUAUGGUAAUUUGGCUACAGGUAUAUCUGCCUUCAGGCCUUCAGUGACCAAUAAUGCCCGGUCUUCCUUUCUAUCAAAUGAGAACAGUGGCAUCCAGAUGUCUGCGCUACUCGACCGGUCAAAACAAAACACAGACUUGACCCCACAAAUGCAGUUUGCAAAGAACACCAUGUUACUUUCAGAAUGGGCUAAAAAUAUGAACCUACCAUACCCAACAAAUCAUUCAUUAAAGAAGCCAAAUCAGCAUAACAUCCGAAAUGGGACAGAUCUGAAUUCCUUCGGCCAAAGUGCAGUGCAAUCAUUAUUCUUUAAAAAUGAUCCUGCGCCAAGUCUCGUGCCUGGUAAAACAAUUGAGAGCGUCCACAGCGUUAGUCCGUCUGUGUCUGGCACUCAAGGCACAUCAGAAAAUUCAGACAUCUCUACAAAAAACAGAAAUGCACUCUGGCCAAAAACCUCUCUCAAACUCUGUGCAAUAUGCCCCUGCUCGUCCACAUACCACCUUAAGUGCACUCGCUCAAAAGCCCUUGAUACGUGAGAGCUACCAGAAAAUGCUUUUUCAGUUCAAGGACAUUGAAACAAGCCAAGAAAAACAAAUUUAUCUGGAUCAGACAGAUUCUUUUGAUAAUGGACCUCCGCAUGAAACCGUCUCUUCUACUGUAGGUGCAAGUAACCCGAUGUCUAAUGCUCCAAAGCACCAUGUUGUUAAAGGUCAAGCUGUAGUGAUGAAAACAUCUCUGAGCGGCACGAAUACUUCAGCAAGUCUUACAAAUAAUGGAGCUGUUUUCCUUCAGAACCACCCUAAAAUAGGGUACGGUGGGUUGACGGUUGAUGAAGUUCAGUCAAAAACAUCUCAGAGGUGGACUUCAAGUAGGCUUGCUUCAGCCCAGCACACUGAAUCUAACCAAGGCGAAAUUCCAGCAGUGAGAUCCUCAAACACCAGUUUUGUUGGACCCAACUCAUACGACGCAUCCAUAAAAUCUAGAAACAGUCAUGAGAAUCCCACAUCUGAGCUUAAGUCUUCUCUUAUGAACAAAGUGACUGGCUAUCCUCAAAUACACAAUGCUGUUAUCCAGCCACUUCGCAGGUAUAGCUUGAAGGAACAUGAAGGUCUGUUGAAUCCAACGAAGGAAGUUAAAGACGGAAACACUGCUGGAAUAACACAAUCAAAUGUUACUGAAUAUUACAGUCCCAUAAGAUUGAGACCGACAAGCAGCACUGUGAUUAGUAGGUGGGUCGAAGUGACUCAAGAAGGAAAGGGAUCUGAAGAAAAUACAAACCACCAGAAUGUGGUCCCAACCUACCAAUCUGCAAUAUAUAGGUCUGCUGACAUUAAUAGUCAUAAAACUAAUAGCUCUGCAGGGCUCACUUACCAGUCACCUAUAUACAGAUCUGCUAUAAAAACUUCUGGCAAAGCUAACGUCAUACAAGCCCAGGGAUCAAGACCCACAAGCAGCUUUGUAGUCGGAAGGUACAUUAAUACAUUUGAUAAAACCUCAACCAAAUCAAACCUCAACUUAUCUUCUACAAAAACAGGCCUAAACGAUUAUAAACCAGUUCAGUUUUCAGAUAUAGCUGGUAGCGCCUCCUUCACUAACGCAGCUGACACCACGGCAAAGAAAGAAGUGGAUCCUGAAAGUAAGCAAAACAGCUCCAAUUCAACAUCAGUGAUGGAGGAAAGUUUUAAAGAGCUGCUUUUUGACAACUCCAUGAUCUCAGCCUUACAAAAUGAAACCGAUGAAAGUACAGUGGAUUUAAGUUUCCCUGAUAUUAUGCCAACUGCUGCUAUAGACUUCACCACAGAAUCUCAGCUGCCAUUUCCAGAAGAAUAUACUCUACCUCAACCAACUGUCUAUUCCUCUGAGUCACAGCUGGAUCUUGGGAGUCUUACUACACCUACAGCAGAGGGUACCGAUCCACUUUUUGAGGGAACGUUGAUACUCAAUACAACUUUGCUGGUCAAACUGACAUCAGAUUGAGAUCUGCCUCUUCAAGUUUUCUACUGUAUGUACUCCAAUGGCAACCGUCAUUAACACCAACAGACUAAAAUGUGAAGUGUUUUUCUCUUCUGUGUUUAGAUGGCACCAGAUCUGUCGUCACAUUCACUUGCAUUAAAUUUGUGAGUUCGGAGUUUUGUAGUUUGUGCUUUACUUCCCCUUGGUAAUCCUUAUUUUGGAAGAAAAAAUAUGGAUAGUAUUAACAGUAUUUUUUCCCUCCCCAAGCAUAACAAUAUAACAAAUUUUAAUACAGUAAACAUUGCAUCCAUAAGUUUUUGUCAAAGAGGCUUUAUGUAAUUUUACAUAAAUCGUGAAAGUAGUUUCCUGAUGUAGGGAUGGGCUCACACACACUUUCUAUUUCCUUCUUCUUGCUGACCCCCACCCCAACAGUUUAGUCUCCAAAGCCCAUGGAUCAGAAUUCAGUUUGCUAGAAAUUGUUUUUUUCUGAGUGCUACUGACAAACUAUUACUUUAAUUGUACAGGCCAAUGAAAAGCUUUCUAAAACGUAAUCACGUGUUGGACUUUAUUUUUAUUUAUUUAUUUUUCUC
rnacentral:lncRNA from 1 species